rnacentral:rRNA from 1 species
AUACGUAGGGGGCAAGCGUUAUCCGGAUUUACUGGGUGUAAAGGGAGCGUAGACGGCAAAGCAAGUCUGAAGUGAAAGCCCCGGGCUCAACCCGGGAAUUGCUUUGGAAACUGUUUAGCUAGAGUGCAGGAGAGGUAAGCGGAAUUCCUAGUGUAGCGGUGAAAUGCGUAGAUAUUAGGAGGAACACCGGCGGCGAAGGCGGCUUACUGGACUGUAACUGACGUUGAGGCUCGAAAGCGUGGGGAGCAAACAGGAUUAGAUACCCUGGUAGUCCACGCUGUAAACUAUGAUAACUAUCUUUUAGCGAUACACAGUUAGAGGGUACGAGAAAUCAUUAAGUUAUCCACCUGGGGAGUACGUUCGCAAGAAUGAAACUCAAAGGAAUUGACGGGG